rnacentral:rRNA from 1 species
UGAGGAAUAUUGGUCAAUGGGCGGGAGCCUGAACCAGCCAAGUCGCGUGAAGGAAGAAGGAUCUAUGGUUCGUAAACUUCUUUUGCAGGGGAAUAAAGUGCGGGACGUGUCCUGUUUCGUAUGUACCCUGAGAAUAAGGAUCGGCUAACUCCGUGCCAGCAGCCGCGGUAAUACGGAGGAUCCGAGCGUUAUCCGGAUUUAUUGGGUUUAAAGGGUGCGUAGGUGGUUUGAUAAGUCAGCGGUGAAAGUUUGCAGCUUAACUGUAAAAAUGCCGUUGAAACUGUCGGACUUGAGUGUAAAUGAGGUAGGCGGAAUGCGUGGUGUAGCGGUGAAAUGCAUAGAUAUCACGCAGAACUCCGAUUGCGAAGGCAGCUUACUAGGCUACAACUGACACUGAAGCACGAAAGCGUGGGGAUCAAACA